CGGUGGGGCCGUUAGUCGCCGCCCGGGACCCGGAUGUGGCGGGGGUGGUGUUGGGCGGGUGGUGGUUUCCCGUGGCGGCCGCAGCUUCCCCCAGAGCUCUCUCCGGCUCUGCCCCAGCCUCGCUGCUGCUGCUGGGGCUCGCCUGUGGUUCUGCGUCACUCGUGUGACAUCGGCCUGGGCCGUGACGGCACUGCCCUGGGCGGCAGGCGGCUGCCUGGGCCUAGGCCUCGCCUCCUCUGAGCGGCAAAGCUUCGGGGCCAGCGCCCGGCCCGGUUUGGGGCCGCAGGCCUGCGGGCCCCGGUGCUCGGACUGGGGACCAGGGGCUGUUCCUAGGCCGGGGGGAGUUCCCGUCACCUGGUCAUGUCCUGCUGGCAUUGGGCACCACCUGACAUGGACUCCUUCCCUCGCUCUUCCUGCCAUCAUCACCUAGUGAUGGUGUGUGGCUUUUACCUCACCACCACUUCAGCUGGAUCCGUGGGUUGAUGGAUUGACAGCACAAGGGAUUGGAAAAACAGGCCUGGAGAUUAAAGGAGUUGGCUGGGGUUACGCCCACAUACUAAGUCAGACACAAAGCCACAAUUAGAACUGAAGUACCUCGCUGGCAGCCUUCUCAACAGUUUGGUUCUUAUGUGUUGCAUUGGGAACUGGAUGCAAAGCUGUUGUUCAAGCCAAAGACAGUAUCUAUCUCAUCCCUGGUCAAAGCCUGGAUUCUUCCCAAUAAAUGAAGUGCGGAGAGUUGCAACUUCUAUGAGUGGAUACAAAAUGUUAUAGACCCUCGAUACAAGAAGGCAGCUGGAAGGAGCAGUGUUUUUCCGAGAGGCUUUCUUCAGGUGGCAAUGGCAAUUUCUUGCAUGUGUGGAACAAUAAUAAUUACGUAUAGCAAAUGUCAAGACCGUGCUUCCAAUCACAGAAUCACAGAAUCACACAGAAUCACAGAAUCGACUGGGUUGGAAAAGACCUCAGAGAUCAUCGAGUCCAACCCUUGCUGCAGGAGCUGCAGAUCUGAACCUGACUGACAGGUUGUGGCAGGAUGCACAAGUGCCACCAGGCACCUGGGAAGGAAGCGUAAUAGCGGCAAAGAACAGAUUUUGCUGACGUGACUUUCUAGCAGCCUGUUUCAGCUCCACUUUAACAGCUCAUUCUGCUGAACUGAAUGCCAAAACCCAGCAUCUCUUGGAUCGCAGGAUUUUCUCUCUGCCAGGUUCAAAGUUCUUACAACAGUGGAUGUAUUAGUUUGCUCUCAAGAAACCCUUCGGUGUUUAUUAACUAAGGGUUAAAUUUCUUAAAGUUGAAGUAACUCCCUUGUGAGCAUCCCAGAAGUGGCAGGUAUCCAGUGGGUUCCCGAUACCUUCAAGCAACACUUUCUCUUCACCCAAUUAUAUCCUUAAUUUGAUGGCUUCUGGCAAUAAACUGUUUUGGAACCCCUUUCCCAAUGGGCAGAAAUACAUGCUGGUUUUCAAAGUACUAGGCUGUCAGCUGUGCCAAGGAAUUCUCUGGCAGACAACUCAUUAUGUCCACAGAUAGAGUCUGACAAAAAAAUUUGCUCCAAGCCACAAGUCAGAGGCUUAACCAUUGUUUGUGUCAAGUUGCUUUACAGCCUGUGAUUUGGGUGAGUUGGGUGGGAAUGUGGCUGUGAAGCAGAGUUCUUUGUUUGAGACACAGGCCCCCGCUUUAGCCAGCUUAUAGAGCCAUACGUAAAAUGGCCUCUUUGCUUUCACUUAACAGGAUGCCGUUCACCUUUCUGCUCUGCUGAGCACCAUUUCAUGACUUCACAGCCCAGGAAUUAAACCCAACACAAAGCAGCUUUACCAGAAAUUGUCUACAGAUUAAAUUAAAUGCCUGUUCUCAUACAGUGUAUCUGAAUUGUAUCAGACCCACUUCUCAGUUUACACACUUGUUCCUGUCAGUAGGAGUCAGCUACUGAAACACGCUGCAGUCCUUGGGAGCUCGUCUCUCAGUGGUUCGAUGAAAGUACCGGAGAUUUUGUGUGUUCAACAUGAUACUUGUUCUAUUGUGCUUCAUAAUAAGAAAAAAAGCUUAGUCUGCUAGUUUAACACCAAUGUAUUUCAUUGAUGUAGCUACUGCCACUAGCUCUGUUUUGUGCUGCACUUUCUAAAUUCCCACUGUCACAAUGUUUGGCAGUUUGACUCCUGGGGGGUUUUUUGUUCAAAAUUUUGAAGGAUGUGUAAAAUUCAGAUAAUUUGACAAUUAGAUAAAUUAACGUAAAAUAACCUUCACUAGUUUAAUUAAGUUGUGCCUUUUUUCCUUUCAGAUUUGUCCAUUGCAUUUUCAUAUGUGGGGAGUAUAAAGCUAUUAAUUUUAGGAAGAAAACUUUUAAACUUAACAAAAUUACAGACCCAGCCGUUCUCUACUAAAGUGGGUUUAUUCUGUAUUUCUUAUGUUUUUAUUUUCUCAUGAUUGUUUACUGUAUAACUGAAUUGUGCAACUGUUCGAGAGAAUCUUGACUCAGAAUAUGCUGCAACUUGCUUUUUGCUUAAAAAAAUCUAUCUCACCGCUGACGGUCCAGCUGGUGUAGCUGAUGAAUAGAUGAGUUUGGGGCUCAUCAUAUUUUUUAAUGUUUCACAACCUUUAAUUUCUCAUUAGCAGUAUGCUUCAUGGUUGCCAAACUUAUCCCAGCAAUCUUUCAAAGACCAACACAUUAUCACAUUACUCAAUAUAAUCUUUACAUAGAUUCUGUAAUGAUGUUAUAUGUGAAAGUUGUCUCAAAACUUGAAUUUGGUGCUGUAUUCCAUAAGGAUGCAAAGAGACCAUGGAUUUACCUUCGCAUUUCUGAAUGCAGAGGAAUCUGGUGAAAAGUUGGCCCUGAUUCAUCCAGCCUCAGUCAGAUUCUACAAAUGAUGAUUUUAUUUAUGAAAAAUGUCAAAGAUCACUCCUUGCAAAAGAAUAGUAUCAUCUUUAAUGACCAGACAGCCUUUAGAAUGAGUUGGUUUUUAACAUUAAGGUUUUAAUUCCUCCAAGUUUUAACAUGUUCUUGUGAAACAGUUAAUCAAUUGGACAACACUGAGUCAUUUUAAGAGCAGGUCAAGAAUUAAGGUGCUGUUUUAAACGGCACAUGGCUUUCUAGUCAGAAAAGGAGAUAGAAUAAUUGUUAAUUGUUUCCUACUAGUCUUUAAAAAAAUCAGCUUUUUUAGUUGCAUAGAAUAUGAAACUCUACUUGCUGGACAAAAUUUUUUUCUCUUACAAUUGAUUGAAGAGUUUUCAUGCCUAUUGUGCCAGGAAUGUCAUCUACUAACAUUAGAAAGAAGACUUAUCAUAAAUGAAAUGUUUUAUUUACUGCUGUGCAGUCAUCUUCAGACCACUUUUCUUGCCUUUGUUUUAACUGAUGCUUCUGGAAAUGACUGGUGGGUAGGUGGGAGCACAAGAUCCUCUCUGAUGGCUAUUGCACUUAACUAUUUUGGCAGAAGAACUUUCUUUUAUUCCAAAAUCGUGUCAAGUUUUUACAAAAGGGUUCUAAAGUGAUAGAAAAUGGAUGUAUCCUUUCCUGAACAAAGUGCCAAGAUCCAUCAGAUGAGUAUCACCACACUCUAAAGUCAUGGCUUUGUCAAAAUUCAAAGGGGAAUAUUGUGUUACGGCACUGGAAGUCUCUCUCCAUCACCACAAUGGUGUAUGUAUUUCUGUCAGCAACCCAGGAAGGGCUUCAAGAAAGAAAAGGAAAAUAUGAAGACUAUAAUUUCUACCAGGACUGUGAUAUCCAAGUACCUUCUUAGGAAAAAUGUGAGGAUAUAUGUCCUGUGCCUGCAGUACCAGCUGCAUCGCCUCCUUCCAGCACGGCAUUUGUAGUUACUCAGCCUGGCUUUGCCAAAGGUGUCUUUUAUAUUUAGGGAGCUGAAAGUACCAGCAAAAUGAGAACCCAUGAGAACCAUGUUGUUACCUUAAAUGCCAUGCUACCGGGGCAGUAUGUACACGAUCGUACAUGUUAUUCCACGCUAGACUUCACUUCAUUGCCCUUUCUUGUAUUGCUAAUAUAGUAGGUUUACUUCUUCCUACCCAGUCUCGGUCUGAUUCAGUGUUUGUUCCCCAUUCACAUGACCAGAACUCUCACCCAGAACCUUAUCAUUUCAUGUCUUGACAGCUCCAGUCGUCUCCAUUCUAGUCUCAACGAAUACUGGCUUGCAAGAGUUGUUUCUUUUAAAAUAUUUUUCUUCUUGUUAUUUUGAUGUUCCAUUGUUCCCUCUCUUGUCCUGUGAGAUUAUUUGCUUUAACUUUUUAGACCGCACCUUACCAUCUCUUCUGUACUUGAACGGCUGACUGUAUGACAUACGUAAUGCCAGCCUUUAUUGUCCUUUCAAGUGUUUCCAAUAAGUAUCUUUAAAUUCCCCCCUAUACCAUUUAAUGCAUGGUAUUAAGGAAAACUCCUCAGUGCUCUUUCAUAGUCUUUUCAUUCCUUCCUAAUUGAGACCUCUAAAUUCUACUGCAGUUUGACUAUAUAAUCAUAGGAGUAAUCUGUCAUAAUACUUCACAAAGAACGUGGAAAUACUUGGCUACUACCAAGUGAAGCUCUGGGACUAAAUUCAACCAAUACUAAAGUUGGCAAGACUCUUAUUAAAUACACUGCAGUCAUAUUCCUUAAGUACAAUUUAUGCAUUACAAUAUUACUUGUACUAAAGCUUACCAGGAAAAUGUUAUAUCUGUAUCAGCCCAUCUAAUGUACUUUUCUUGACAGUAAGUUGAUAGUAAGAAUGUGUUGGCUAUUCCUUUGUAUGUAUUAAGAAUAAGAAGUCUGUUUUUUCUCAGAUAUGGCUAUGGUCUUUCUUCCUGCACAUGGCAGUGUGGCAUCUAAUUGCUACUUCAACACCUCAGGCUCACAACAGAUUCCUCUGAAAUUCUCAAAACUGUUGCUUACCAACAGAUACCAAAAUUCCCCGAAUAUUAUUUAUGCUUUUGGAUACCAGGUUAUCUAAAAAGUUUGCCAUGCAUGAGCAGCUCCUGCAUCCCACACUGACAUGCAGCUUGGCAGUGAAGCCCCUCACAGGUUUUAACACAGAGUUGACCCAUCUCCUUCCCUCCUGGUGGAGUUCUCUCUGCCAGCAUGAUGGAUGGUGACUUUUGAGGCUGACGUGUCAUGCGCUCUCCUUGCUCUGCUUGGGUUUGGCUUUGAGUUGUGUUACUGUGAGGAAAAGCUUGACUUGGCUCGGGUUCCUGGGGCCAAGAGAGGAUUUUCAUUUCAGACACAUGUAAAGUGGGCAUGGAGCAAGCUAUGAACUGUCAAGUUAUCUUCUCGUAUAUUUUUUCUAAUGACUGGCGAUGAUUCCUUCACUUCACUUUCUGUCCUUGAUGAUCUGUUUGUAAGGUGCUUUGCUUUGCCCCAGCAUUUGUGCAGGUCCUGGGUGCCUGUCUCAGCGUGCUGUCUCUGGGUUGUUCCAGGACACAGACAGCUGGGCACUGCAGAGCGGAAUGGAGCUGUACCAAAGCCCUUUUGUGCAUUCUGGUGUAAAUCUCUUCUGAAAACGAGAAUUUGGGUCAUAUUUACGAGGAUCUAGAGGUGUCUAAUGAUGAAGAUAGGCAACCAAUGGUAUUUCCAAAGAAGUAUCUUAUAUUGUUUUUACAUAAUUUGCUAAUUUCAUAAUUUUCUAGAUCCCUCUCCCUGUUUUCUCUCUGCCUGUGAAAUCCCACAGUUGUGUAAGAGGCAAAAUAUUUGGGUGAUGAGCAAGUGGACGGGAAACUUAUCUACAGUUAUCUACUUAUGUAUCAGGGUGGCUUUGAACUACUUCAUUACAUGUUCAUUAGUUCACGUUACAGUUGAUACCGAGUGAAUCCUAUUAGUGUUUAGCACGUUACACAGCUUUGGAAGUGGUAAUAUGGGAGGCUUCUGGAAAGAAGUAGUUUGUAGCCUUAGAUUGCUGGGAAAGACUUCUUACCAUCUUCAUUCCAAGCUGAGAGGCAGAAACCAGGGACAGAGACUCUAAGGGAUCGUGAAGAAAGUUACAUUAUUACAGAAAACAACAGCAUUUUUGUUAGAAGCAAACAUACUAUAAGCUACCACAAAAUAGUAAGGUAUUGGACAAAUGUAAGUAAAUUUUUCAAAUAGGGCAGUAGCAACUUCGUAAGUAUUCAUUUCUCUUUCUAAUCAAUGAUGGCAUGAUCCAAGCAAAUAUUUCCCAGAUGCAGUAAAUUGUUGCUUUAAUUUCUGAUUUGAUUUUGAAGAGUGGAUUGUAUUGAACUUCUCUUAAGCAAUUUAGCUGAGAUUUCCAUUUAGGCUGGACAAGAUAAUAAUAGAACCUAAGUUUAAGUUUAAGGUUAAUCACUGCUGUGGCAGAGGGGAAUAAGAAGUAGAAUUUUUAAGUCAGCAAAUUUUAGUAUGUUUCAUUUGCAAAUGCAUAAUAUCACUAUAUAUAAGUGAUCUCUGAUAACUUUUAGUUGUGAAAAGGCCUGUAGGAAAGUAAUCUGAAAUUUAAAUAUGUAGAUAAGUAUUGGACCAAGAGUUAGUGUAGGAUUGAAUGGAAAGUAGAAAGGGAAACAUGGCAAUAAAAAUGGUGGGAUAAAAGCUGUCUAUAAACCUUCUGUGUCUGUAAUCAUUAACAAAGGCAGUCUGUAAAGUUUUUAUUGUAUUCUAAGACUAUGCAAAACUGCAUUAGAAUGUGUUUACAUGUACAUUUAGCAUAUUUAAAGAAACAUUCCUUGAAGAAUAUUUAGGAUUGAAAGCUACAUUCGAAGACAAUAUGAUAAAUGCAAGAGGGAUGUCUUGUGAAAUGCACCUUUAUUAAGCUUGAUUACUGCAAAAUAAGAAUCCAGUUAAGGCAUUGAAAAGAAAAAGACAGACCAUCUGUGAGGGAAUUUGCCACAGAUCUAAUGCUUAUCUAAUUUUUCAGAUAAAAUGGGCACUGUACUUUGCAGGGAAUGAAGAAGUUAGAAAUCAUUUUAGGUUGUAGUAUCAAAAUUUUGCCGGAAAUAUGAACAAAUUGGAUAAAAGCAAUGGAAACAAUGCUUAUAGGUCAGUUAAACACAAGGUUGUAAUCAAAUUCGUUCUUUGUAGAUGGUGACAUUACAUUCUACCAUGUUGCUGAAAAUUCUUGAAGCAAUGUUAUAGGAAAUGUAUUUCUUCCCCUGAGACAUCUUAUCUGAUUUUUAAAAGUGAACACAUGCACUAAAUUUCUUUUUGUCCCAGAAAUUCUACCAGUGUAUGUGGGGUAAUGAGCAGAGGUGGCUUUUGUGUUGCUUAACUGAAGACUGUUUCCCACAAAGAAACUAAUUCUUGGUUGAUUCUGCACAACCGAGGAAGAUAAAAUCUGUUCCAUUAAUUUUUCUACAGGCACAUCCAGACCACGGCUACUUUUGAUCCUGUCAGCUGUUCACCUUUAGCAGAAAGACUGCUGCUUGUCUCACAGAGGUUUAUGUGAACUGAAUGUACAACUCUUAAGAUGUUGGGCAUAGCCCUUCCAAGCUCUCGUGUCCCUCAAGAUACACCGAGAGCAGUUACUGAAUUGUGUGCUCUCAGGGUACUGACGGACUGAUUGCCACAACCAGUCCAUAACUGCCUAUAAUUUUCUUCUGCAAUCUCUUUUUGCCAUCCAAGCAUUUAGAUGCCUGUCUUUGACAACAGCUCUGGUGUGGCAUGGCUAUGUAACUUUCUGUCAGGCUGCUGCCAAACAGUCCAGUUGUGAGGAGGAGCUGUGAGAGAGGAAAGCAACUAAAUGGUGAGAAUCACAGAAUCACAGAAUGGCUGGUGUUGGAAGGGACCUCUGGAGAUCAUCCAGUCCAACCCACCUGCCAAAGCGGGUUCACCAGAGCAGAUCACACAGGAAUGUGUCCAGGGGGGUUUGAAUGCCUCCAGAGAAGGAGACUCCACAACCUCUCUGGGCAGCCUGUUCCAGGGCUCUGGCACCCUCAGAGUAAAGAAGUUUCUCCUCAUAUUCAGUACCUGUGCUCAUGUGUCCCACUGCCCACUGACCCAGGAGUUGCAUUUGAACUCAGGCUUUGGCUCCCUGGCCCGGCCUGGCACCUCCUCAUCGCUACAGACUUGCCUGGUGAUCUGGACUCUUGCUCGACGCUGUUGCCAUCUCUGGACCUGCUUUGCUGCUCCUGUUGGAGACUGUGGGCCGUGUCGAUGGGGUCACUGCCCUGUCUGCUGUGCCAUUGCCCUCGGUGCCUGGCUUGUCUCCCUUACAGAGCAAGGACAACUGGAAAUGUGAGAUCAUCAGGCAGUAUUUGUUUUGGAGCUGAGAAAAUACUACAAACAUUUCGGACUGCUUGUUUAUUUGAUUAGCGUGCUGGUUUGCCUGUUGUUCCAUAUAAUAAGACUCAACAUAUUCUACUUCUUUCUAACCGUAGAGGAAGAGACAGCCCUGGUCUCCUGCAUUUUUGUAAACAAACUGACAAAUAUACAAAUAGAUGGGCUAGGAUGUUUCUGUAAUUUAAGUAGAAGCCCACCUGAAAUACAGGUAGACAGAGAAAAGCAUAAAGCCAAAGGUACGUUCUAUAUAUGUUAUACAGAACAAAUAAAAUUUGAUGUAGAGAGUAGUCAUUCCCCUUCUGUGCUGCCUUAGUGCAAUGAUCUCAGAAGUCUAAGCAAAUGGAAACUACUACUUGGGAUGUUUUUCAUUCCUAUUGACUGAUUUUUUGGGAAAUUCCAUAUUUUAAUUAAAUUCUUAAGGCAAAUAUUUCUAAUAUAAGCUUAGCUGAUUUAAUAGAGAUCUAUAUAUUUUGCAUGUAUUUUCAGAUUAAUCAUAAAUUUAUUUUUUGAAAGUUGGAAUUCUACAUGUUGAAACAUGAACUUUUGUCUGUGUGCCAGGAAGGUGGGUUUCUGAACUAUGCUGCUGUUUGUGGCUGUUAGAGAAGCAAAGCAACAAUGCAGAGACAUAUGUUUUUAUGAUUGGUACUGUGGUUCUACUCUUAAGUACUUAGUUCUUUUGGUCAUGUUUUAUUAUUAAACACUGGAGCCUGCAAUAAUUAGCCAGGCCAAUAGUAAAGGUCAUUUGAUUUUGCUGGGUGUUUCAUUUUGUUCUGUUUAACCUUAAAUGGAGUGAUGGGGUAGUGCAGAUUCACUUCACAAGACAUACCAGAUGUAGGACAGGAUCUAGUUUAGCUAUUGGCAUUUGUCAGUCUCAGGAAAAGAAAAUGCCCAUGCUUAAUAGAAAAAGGCUCUAUCUUAUCUUACACAUCUCUAAACAAAGCAUUAGUUGUCCUUUCAUUUUUUUUUGCCUUGGUUUUGAUUUGUAUUGUUAAUGACUCCACUUAUACUUUGCCUUUGGUCAAUCAACACAGAGGAUCUCCUUUUUCAUUAUGCAGAGAAGUUUCUCCUCACCCCUCAUUCAGUGAGGCCUUGCUCCUCUUGAGCCUCUGUAGCCGUCCUUGCUCCCAUCAGCACCGCACACUCACCACCUCUUCUCUAAAGCCUUUAGCACCUCCACACUGUCAGUAUCUCAUGUUCUUUUUCUGCUGCUCAGCCUUUUCUGCUGACUCUGUAAUGCUCACAGUCUCAACUCCACUGACGGUGACUCUUUGACUAACUGCCCUGCUAGGGCUUCAGCUCUAGGUUUUUCCUCAGCUUCCAGUCCCCGUACAGCUCCUGCUUCACACGGCUGCGCUGUUUCUGUGCGGACUCGCAUGGUCCUUUCUUGUCCGUUUGUCACAUUUCAUUCCCACUCCUGGCUUGAGCCACAAGACUGCAUUGACUUUUUCACACUGCAGACAGGCAUGGCCAAGGGGGGUCACCUCUUUUGGAUGUGGUUUUAAUCUGUUCCCUACAGGUGCAGUUGUUUCCACCUGCUUUUUUGCUUUCAUGCCUCACUGAUCCCUCUCCUGCUCCCUUCUUUCUGCCUGAACUUUUCAUCUGUCUUCCUAUCAUCAGGAAUAUAUUCUUGCUACUAGCUACUUGUCCAUUCCCAACCAAUCUCCAUUAUUUCUUUCCCCUCUAAAUAAUUUCUGGCCAAUACACCAAAUAUAACUCCCCUUUUUCUUUCUUCCUUUCAUUUAUUGCGUUGACUUGUGCAUCAUCUUAAAUUAUUGAGUUGAAAGGUGAGAGAUUUGAAACCAAUAUGAAACGCUAUUUUGGGGCAGCACAUUCUUCAUGGAACAUCCAUAUGAUCCGGAUUGUGUUUCCUUUGAGUCUACAAUAAAUCAUCUGCUGAUGUCCAUAAGAGCAGUUUUAUGCUUUGUAUUACUCUAAAGCAGGUGUUUAUGUCAGCACUGCUCAGUUGUGAGACUCUUUCUUCAUGUUAGAGACAAGUAAGUGUGACCUGGUCUGCAGUCCUGCGUAUUGAGGAGGACACACCUGCUCUGAUAUUCAAUAACUUGUAACUGUUACAUACUUUAUAGUCUGUAAAUAUUUGCCAAGAUAUGAAUCAAUUGCCUUUUAAAGAAGAUAAGCACAGAUGACAGAAGAGGUGUUGCUAUGCUUUCUUGACAUUCUGAAAAAGCACAUAGAACCAGGAAAACUGCUGUUAUGUGUUCCUCUAAAUAUUAAGGCAAAAUUUAUAAUUCUGGUCAUAAGUUUACAUGAAGUUUGAAAUACUUCAGAAGAGAAAGCAAGUAUAGUUCUACAAACAGCUACCAAAAAAUAAAUCAAAUUGUGCUCUUGGGUGUAAUUAUUUUUAUGCAGGCCAUGCAAUAAAAACAGCAGAUACCAGUGUGUUGUGGCUUAGUUGUAUGCAUGUACCUUUUGCAGGCCUUUUGUGACUCAUGGCCUUGCUGUAGGAUAAGUUCCCAGUGAACCAUUCCUUUUCAUCUUGUAAAUGUGUGGUAGCACAGAUUCUACUUGAGAAAAGCACCUUUUUUAAAGGCCCACUGUCAAUGUGACACCUUGAUUUCAGAUUAUGAUUUUCAUGUAAAAGUUCUCUAACUGCCGGACCUGCACACUUGCUCUGGUUACUUGGAGUCAAGGUUGUGUAACCUUCAGUAGUAAAGACACAUCAGACAGAAUGUAGGUACCAGUCACAGAAAUUGCUUUACACUGCUUGGAGACUUGGGACACUAAUUAACAGUUCUGUUAAUGAUACAUGAGACGAAGGAGCCGUGUAAAUAGAUAAGACCAAUGCACAGAAAGCAGAGGUUUAUGGUAGGAAUGUACUGUUUUUCUAGAAACACUUCUCUGACUACAUUUCCGUUUCAGCCUUAGUUUAACAAAAAGGAAAGAUAAUUCCCUUCUUUUUUUAAAUGCCUGACAGAAGAUGGGUAGGGGGAGAGAGAACCUUACAAAGGGAGAGGGCAGGAGAAAGGCAGAGCAGCGUGCAGGUAUUCUCUAGCAGGUGAUAUUUUGUACGCACAGUGUGAGUCAAUACCAACAGGGGCCUUAAGCCUCCUGAAUCCCUCCACUCCUGGUAAUUCCACUCGUUAAAUGUGUGGGCAGCAGCAAGAAAAAAGACAUUUUCCUGUUGAAGAAGAGGAGAGAAAAUUCUGCAGGGCUUUACUCAGAGCCACAUUAAAAGAGGGAGAGCUUGCUGCCUCGUGACAUUACUUGUCACUGUCUAAGUAUGUUACCCAUAGUGUAUGCUAAAUCAUUUGCUUUCCAUGCGUCAUGGCUCUGGAGCAUGGGAAAUAAUACAAAAACUGCUAUUACAGUCUUAAUGUAUGGGGAGAGUUUCUGACUAUUAGCUGAAUUGGCAUGGAUUUCUUUUUCUAGCAGAGAGCAUCACUCCGUGGUCUAAAAACAGUUAGGAAAAAAUAGGGUCACAGGAAAAAAACCAGGAUCACAGUUUAUUUUUCUCACAGGUUUGUAGUAGGGGAUGUAUGUGAGCUGCUGGGAUUUCAUUAGAUCAGUGUAUUUUGGCAGAAGCUCUUGUGUCUUAUAUGGACUGUGCCGUGUGGGAUCCCAGCUACCGUGACUUUGGAAAAUACGUUGAAGAUGUUUCAAACAGACCUACUGUUUAUGUCGCAGCUGGUUAGAGGAGGAUCCCUGUACAUCUGCCAUCUGCCAAAGAGGAUAAUGUGUUCUGUAACUGGCAUUCUUAUUAAUAUUGUAAGCAGCAAACCUUGCAGAUAGAGCAGGAAACAGGAAUCGGGCUCAUGGUCUGAUCCUGACUCUGAUGGUGUUUUGUGCAACCCUUGGAAAAUGGCUUAAGCUGUCUUGCCUACUGGCUUCUUACACUGUGUAAUCAGAAAUGUUCUGUACUGUUUUGUCAUUUUCUGGUGGGAACAAAAAGCUACAUGUCUUUAUUUAAAACAUGCUCUGAUGAAAAGCUACCUAUGAACUAUUCAGUGCUCUUGUAGCAAAAUUCAGCUGCAUCUUUGAAGCUUUAAAAUGAAGCGAGCCUCACUUAUGAUAAGGGAAGAAGCGGAUCCUGAUGAUAUUCCUGCUUAUCCUUUAGUUCCUAUCAUAAUUAACAGCAAAGCUGACGGUGACCCUCAAACUGCUCUUAUGGUAUUGCUGAGCUCUAUAAACUAGCUGAGAGUGAAAGAAAACUUUGGUCACUGCCUUCCAAGCAGACUCUCCAAUAACCAUUGUAACAGUCCUUGUUCCCUCAAACAGCAAUGCCUUCCCACAGAAAUUUGCAGAGAGCUGAGAAUUGCCGUAUACUAUUAAUAGUAUUUAGACUGCAGUUCAAGGCUUUGAGUUUUUUCAUCUAGCACUGAUGAUAUCUCUGCGUAGCUCAUUAAGCCCUGUAACCCAAAUGAAAGACACCAAAGGAGUUGCCUGUGAAGCAAACGCACCCUUGCUUCUUGCUGUGGUGUCAUGGUACACCUAAUGCUGCGUGGUUAUCUUGGACCAUAACGUAUUUGGCAACGAGAAGAAAAUAUCUCUGGAGAUAGCGGAGAGAGGUGUUUUCAGUGUGAACUCAUGUCACCCUUCUUUUUGUAGCUUAUUGUCUGUUGAUGAAUUUUAAAGAAGCCCUUAGGGAUUUGGCACAGAAUAAAAGCAUUAUGCUAGCUUCUCAAGUCAGACUAUCCCAAACCUGGUUUGUGUUGCUUGUUUUCCUCUUAGCUGGGCUGAAGAAGGAACUUGCAUAAAGAGGAGCGAACUGGAAAUUGUUCGUAUCAUUCUGCGAGUGACUUUUUUCUGACAUUCUGAUUUAAGACAUUUCUGUAAAACUCCCUCAACCCAUCACAAGUAACUAAGAUUUUGUAACAGGUGCCACAAGCAGCUUCAGUGGUUGUCCAGCAUUGUAGUACCUCAUGCAGACCAAUCUUCAGAAACCAUCAGUUUGUUCUCAGUCACACCUAUGAUGAGUAGGAUAUGGGCUAGAUGUAGCUAUUGUGAUAGUUUCAGUCUCAACAUUGCUCAAGUUUUCUUGUAAAACUGACAGUGCUCUGCCUCUUUUCCGUGCAUCAUGUUUAAUAAGUACAUAAUCUGUACAAGGCAGUACUGAUAUUUGAAAAUCAGAAGUUGAUUUAUAUUAACUUAUAAGACAAAAUUUUGCAUGUUUUUCACCUGUGUUUUAAGUUCUGAUAUAGCAAAGGCUGUUUCCCUUCAGUAUAUAAUCCUGGAAGUACCUAACACCUGACACUUAUUUUCUUUUCCACAGCCAAUAAUUUUGCUGUUCACUAAUCACACUCCAUUUUUAUCAGAAAAGCUAGUGUAAAAGAUAUGCACUCACCACAUAACAAGCACAGCAGAUUUGCAGUAGUUGUAGUUUUGGCAGUAGUAUAAAUACAUUUUCAUGUUUUCAAUUAUACAUUAAAUCCUUUAUAGCUGCUUUGAGAGUUCUGGCAUAGAGUAUUAUAUGGUAUAGAGGGAUAAGAAGACCCAGAGCAAGGAGGAUGAAUAAGAAGUGGAAUUCCUAGUUACAACAGGCCUCUCACACUGUACAGGCUUUAACACAGCUAUUACCAAAGAUUUCUUAUCCAGUAACAAAACAAGCCAGUAGCACCAUUUCUACUGUUCUUUUUGUCUUUCCUUCCAGCUCCCUGGCAGAGGUCAGGGAAAGCCCCUCUCUUGCUCUCACAGCUGAGGCUGAUAAUUGCAACUGAUACUUAAUGCAAAGCAGGUGGGCAGCCAGGGAAGGCUUCUCCUUUUCCAGCCCUGGUAGAAAUCUGGGCUGGUGUCUUUCUCUGUGGUGGUUGAUCUGUGGUGUUAGCUGUGCUUGAAACAGGGAUGCUUGCUGGACUUCACAGAGACGACACCAGGGCAGUCAUUCUGUUGACACUCAGGAGCUCCAGAGCAGGACAAGAACAGGAGGACGAGAGCAGGGAUGCCAGGAAAAGCAAAUGUUGAGAGAGGAUAGAGUGAGGGACACGCAAAUCUGAAGUUCAUCAAGCUAAACUUAUAAUGGACCCUGUGCAUACCCGCAACCUCACACAUACAUGGAAGGACGGUGGUUUGAGAAAUGACCAGUACUGGAUGAGUUGAGACCGGUCACUGAUGCCCUCCGGUGUCUUUGCUCAGCUGGUGGUUUCAGUGAGACACACAGGAAUGGAGGCCUGCAGCACCCCUUAAGCUUAAUGAGGAUAUGUCCCAAAAUUGGAAAGGGCUAAUAAGACCCAAUAGAGGAGGAACUGAAAAAAAAGGAAAAAAAAAAAAAAAAAAAAGGCACAAUUCUAUUCACUGACCUAUAAGUUACGUGUGAUGUGGGUUUCUACAGUUUUAGUAGAACCCCUCUACCCCCUCCUCCUGCCCUGCCCACCUUCAUCAAGUUUCCAGUGUCUCCAGCGCAGCUCCAGCUCUCACAAAACAACAGCAAUCAUAUUACAACUUAAAACCAUUAACCAAUUAAGUGUCAUACCUCUUUACAAGGUGGGUAAUUAUAUGUGAACAUUGCUAAGCUACCGCUGUUUGGUGUAGCAGAUUGUUCAGCUGUUUCUGCUCAAAGGGUCCCAGACAACCCUCUGAAAGAUCAAGGUUGGGAGGUAGAGCUGUGUGUGGGAACUAUAGACAUCUGCUAACAGGCUGCUUAGCGCUGAACCCUCCUGUUACUCUUGGGUUUGUGAGCAUUAGGUGUGUUCUGCAUUUGUAGAGCCAAGUAGGCUGCAUUUUUGAAAACAAAACAAAAACAAACCAAAAAACCACAGAAGUCCAUGGCCCAUGUAGAGCUCACCAUUCUACACUUCAUAAAAUGUCAGAGUAACUGGUCUGUCGUCUUUGCUCGCUGCCCGUGCUGCCGUGUUCAUGUAAACCAGACUGUGCUUGGCCAGUGAGAAGCCAUCGCUUCUGCUGAAGGCAGCUCGUUAAUAAACUAAUGGCAUGAUGUUACAUGGGGUCUCCCAACCUGAAAUGCUGAUGACAUUUUUCCCCAAAGCUGGAAGAUUUAUGAUUUUUUUUUAACCUAAAUUAAUUAAGAAGCAGAACCUUAAUUAAGAAGCAGGUUGCUUCUGAAACAGCUAACCCACUUCAAAGGGCUGAAGCCUUAUACUUAAUGGCGAACAAAGAAGAGAAAACAGGGUCGAAACAGACAAUAGCUUUGUGUUGUUCGCAACCCAUUCAUCUUGCACAUGAGGGGGGUGCUCUGCUGGCAUUUUAAAAAUGGCAGCAGAACAUCUGCCACCCAAAAGGAGAACUGGGGUGUGUGGGAGGGGCAUGUGGUUUAUUCAAAAGCUGCUGUUCCCCUUUUGAAGCAGAUGAGCCAGAUAUCUGUACUUUUUUUUUUCCCUUUUCUGCCAAGUCCUGGUCAAGUUCCCAUUGAUUUCAGUGGAUUCAGGAUAUCCCUCAUUCUCUUUUUCUUUUCUUUCUUUCUUUUCUUUUCUUUUCUUUUCCUCCCCCCAGCUAGGUGGUUUUGCUUCAUGGAUGCAGCAGGCGAGUUGAUCCUGUUUCCUCCACUCCCCAUAGCACGUACAGCUGCGGGCUGAGGGGUGAGCGGUUCAAGAAAAACAAGAAAUAAGUCUCUUGAAAAAUGUCACAAUUUUCAGCUAACUCAGUUCCCACAGAGCUCAGCGUCCUUCUGGAAGAAACACCUCAACCUCAGAUAACUACAGUGUUCCCCAGUCAGUUCCAGUCAGCACUGGUACUAUUUAUACUAUGUAUUAUGUGAGAUUUUGAACAGGUCAUUCCUGCUUCUGGAAUAAAGGGGGAAAGGUGGCUUUUCCCAUUAAGCCAGUAUGGUUUAAACAAUGUUUCAAAAAAAAAUCCACCACCGUUUCUUUAAGAAGACACACAAGCUAGGGGCAGUCACCUCUCUUGCUGGUGAAAUGCCAGAACACAUCUGGAGCGGUUGCUGAACACAGCUUCCAGAUGUGCCGCCUUGAGUGCCAGCCCCACAGGCUUUUGUAAACGCUGCUGGAUGGCCACUGCACCUUUAGGGACGUGCACGGAUGCUGCUGCAAGUCCAACCUUGUGCUGCUUUGGAAAACGCUUCCAAAAGUCGCACCCAACCUCAAAAAGAGAUUGAUGAAACAGAUAAAUGCACAAACCACUUUCAUUUUCUUUAUUUUCAAUCGAUACUGUAUGAAUACAAAGUUUCUAGAAAGCUACAAAAAUUCUACCACUUUAUCAAGAAGGCAUCAAAAUGUGUCACUUUGCAAAGACAUGAAAACACCUGCAGUAACCGACACAAAAAUAGCAUUUUUAGAGUGAUGAAAUAAUUGCACUUAACUGUCAUGGAUAUUAAAGUUAUCACACAUAUGUACCGCGAAAGCUAGAAUACAUUUUUUUUUUUUACAAAGCACUUUAUAAAAAAAUUCUCUGCACACAAAACCUAUAAUUUUCAUAUUACUAUCAUACUAAAGAUAAAUUCACUUUAAAGCCAACACUUAAAACAUUUUAAACAAAAAAAGGUACCAGUACCUACACACAGACAAUAACAAAUACAAGAAUACUGUACUGCCAAGAGGUUUGACUGAAACUCCUUUUGAAAGCUUCUGCAAAUAUGUUAAGAAAACAUUGGAGAACAUUCACUUUUUUCCAAGAGCCUUCCCUCCCUGUCUAACCCAGAGGUACUUUAUCAUCAAAAGGCAAGUUCUACAUCAAAAGUUACCAGCAGCAGUACAAUAUUAAAGUAACCACUGACCAUAUAUGAAUAUGCUUAAGUCACAAACCCAUUUUAUACACAUUACACAAAUAAACAUAAAGUGAGAAUUCCAUUAAGUCAUUUACAAAUGUGAACAAAUGCACAUGGCAAAAAAACCCCAAAACAAAACAAAACCCCAACCUGUUUUACAUAAAAUGUACUGAAGAAUUAAAGGCUAUUCAGGUUUUCAAUGUUAUAAAAUUCUUUUGUUUUUUUUUUAUUUUUUUCAGGCACAUAUUGUAUUUUUUGUCUGCAGUCAUGAGCCUGAAUCAGAGGCCCAUAAAACAAAAGAAAACAAAACCACGUAUUCUAUAAGGAGGUAACAGGGAUCCGUCUCCUUUUAGUCAACUGAGUGCAUUUAAGAUUUAAUUUACACACUAAAACUAAUUACAUGUUCUUACCAAGAAUGACCUGAAAAUUUAAAAGAUGAAGAUCUCCAAAGGGAAAUCUUUGUACUUGGACUUAUCCAGCCUCAAUCUUUGUUUUAGGGGGCUAAACAUCUCCUUAUGAAAGAUAAGAGGGGGGGAAAGAGAUCAUCCUGAGAGAAUUACAAAACUGGGCUCUAUUGUACACAUGUGUACGUGUAUCCGUAUGGGGCAAGUAAAGGGCAGACAAAAGGUUUCUCAAUAUGAGUGAGUGAGUGAUCCAGGAAAACUAUAAGGGGACCUGCCUCCGAAAGCAAGUGUGCCCUGGGACUUGCAGUGGAAAGAUAAAUAGAUAUGGAUUAGUACGUCAAAUGUUGUAUCUGCCUUGAACUGGCCAGUUACUUACAUUCAACAUCAAUGUACACCCUUCAUUAUUUCAAAUAGCCUAUACCGUGGAGGUUUUAACGGAAGAAGCUACGGCCAAACUUAACGAGCUGUAGCUGCGGCAGAAAGGGAAAAAUGAGCAACAGGCAUUAUAUCUGCAAUUCCUUCAAAAUAGUGGUGCAGUACCUACAUAAAAUAACUCUGGAAUUCAAGUAAGUAAAACUACAUUUGUUAGUAGUAAUUUUUAACAGCCCCCAAUGGUACCGUUAUGCUUAUUUUAGUAUUUUUGUGAGACAGAAGUGUAGUUUAUCACAAAUAUUGACCAGUACAGCUGAAACGUUUGGUAAUGAUUUGGUAGUAACUGAAAAUAUACGCUCUAUUUGUGGGGCUAAAGUGUCUUUGCCCUACCUCAGUCUCAUUGAGUCGAACAGGAUUAUAGAGGUAAGUGAGAUUUAGACCUUGAAGGAAUAAUAAAAAUAGUAUUUUAGAGAGAGGGAAUUUGAAUUAUCACAAUAUUUACCACACAGUGUCACAAUAUUUCUAUAUAUAAAAAGUUAAUCUUAGUUUUCAUCAAAUACUUUAAAAAUCAAGGUUAAAUUGUAUUCAUUACUAAAUAAUCCCUCUGACAGCUUUUGGUUUUGCUGAUAUUUGUUCUUCCUAAUGUUGUUUUCUUAAAAUCUUGCUCCUCUUCCCAUCAGUUUUACUUGCAGUGUACAGUGUGGCCCCCGGUCACUGAAGGUAUCAAAUACAGACACAUUUUUUGAGAGGAGUUAUCCAAGAAAUCAUAUGGGAGACAAAAACCCAAACCAAAACAACCCUGUGUUUUGAAUCGUGCCAGCCAGAGCUAACGGCACCUUCAUCCCCAGUGCUCACACUCAGCAUUUCAAUGCUUAAAAACACACAGUUGGUUUACCCUACCUAUUGGCUGUUCUCCGUUGUCCUCUUGUUUUAUGCAUCUGACUUUCAGCAUGCACAACUUUGUACAGAAAAAUCUUCACAGAUACUGAAAUACUAUUAGAGGAGAACAAUGAAGUCACGUUUGCCCACCGUCUGAAAAUCUGCAUUAUAUGGAUCUCUCAUUAUGCAAAUGCACAACUGGAUGAAGAGAAUAGAAAUGUGAAUAAUUAUCAUUUUUAUGCUGGUUUGCGACGCUGUCAGAAAUGGCAAACAGUAGAUUAUUCUACAGCAUGUUGCUAGCAAAAUUACAUUGCUAUAAAUGGUGCUCUGCUGUGAAUGGAGGCCUGUAGAUUCAACUUAUUCCAAUAAACCAAAGGCAUUACGGUGAUAACUAAAUAUUUUUGGUCUCUCUACAAAUUGUCAUUAUUAUGGCAGCACUUUUCUAAGCUGGAAUUUCAAACCAAAGGCACUUUCAUGCUAGAGUGCAGAAGAGUCACAAUUAAUUAUUUGGUCAUGAAAUUUAAAAAGGCAGCAUUUAGUCAUACAAUUCACUUUUCACGGAGAACUAAGCAUCUGUAACCUUUCCUUUUGGUAUAGACAUUAAACUGCGUAGUAACGGGACUGACUUGUACAGAAGGUUGGUUUAGACCAAGCAGUCAAAGAGCUUUUCUGUGGGAAAAAAUACAGAUAUUUUUAAAAAUGGAACCAAUUAAUAAAACAAUAUAUAAAAUUUAUGUGAAGAGGCUAAAGGUACUUCUAAUAUAAUGCUAAGGCACUGCAUAUUGUAAUGCUUUGGCAGCUCUCAAUUAAAAGGUUCCUAGAAAAAAGUAACAGUAACAAGAUAAGUACUUCCAGCUUACAAAAGAGCUCACAGUUUACAGGCAGCCUGUUGGACUACACACCCCACACCGAACAGUUGAAGGAUUAAGGCUUUUAAGAAUUAACAUGUACAGGGUAUGGAUCAUUUACAGAAGCAUAAAGAAAAGACAAUGGAAGUAGAUUCCAUAAUAUUACAUAUGUGAACACCAAUAAACAUUGUGACUUUUUAUACCCUAUAGUUAUGGCAUAUGCAGUGUGCCAGAUUCUAUUACAAAAACUGUACCUGGUUUUGCAAAUUGAUUUACAUACUUUAUAUGCCUCAAAGAGUUUGCUUGUUAUUAAAAAGAAACAAAAAAAUCACCAAAACCACAAUUCAAACCCUAAGUAAAAGACAACUUUAGAACAAAAGAAAACAAAAAAGUAGUUUCUGACUUGUAACACCAAGUGCUUAGAAUAAAGGGCUACCGUUAGGCUGUUACAAUGCAGUGCUUUUCCUGAUGUGACUGUUAGUGUUAAAAAUGAGUGUUAGAAGAGACCUUACCAUGGACAUAUUCCUCUGUUCAGUUCAUGGAAUAUAAACCAAAAGAUCAUCAGCCCUAAUAUCCACAAGCAGCUAACAGCUAGACAUCACACAACCAUCCACCUCCUCGAGUCAGAGCGGGGCAGGCGAGGGAAUUUAAGCAGUCGCCCUUGCCCUCGGUGAUGUUUGUCUGUCCUCUACGCUGAGUCCUCACCAGUGCUGAGCAUGAACCUGCUCUGACACAGACGCGCAGCAACCCGCCACCUCGGCUAGAUAAUUCAACACCGGGCAAUUUUAACAGAGAGUACUAUGAGAAACAUAAAAUGCAAAAAUUAAGACUGACUUUUUCUCAAAGACUAUAGCACUGUGCUUGGGAGUAAAUUCUACACUUCAAUGGUGCAUGGGCACAUAUCGGUAAAGGGCAGGGAGGAGCGACCUGCUAAACGUUAACUGCUUUAAUUCAGGACUGCAAAAGACCUUCCCAAGAACGCUCUUUGCCGAUAGCUCAUGACUGAUCCUUGAGGUGGCUUGUGCUUGGCCGGGCAGCCCUCACUCAGCCUUGCAGACAAAUGCUUUGUGUGAGCACCCGCUGCAGGCCCAGCACCUGCUCAAACAACAGCUGCGUGGGCAACUGCGGGGCAGCGCUGGCGGGUGAAAAGCAACUGAGCAACGCCCGCUGGUGUAGCCAGGAGGAAUGAGGCUGCUCCUCUCACAUGUGCGUUCCUCAGACAAUCACUCACACCCACAUCCACGGUUUGAAUCCUUACAGUAUUAAAAUAUCUCCAGCUGUGCUUCACUUUCUGGAGUCUUCCCUGAAUAUAGCAGAAGGAUGAAUGCUACCACAUCUGGAGGCAAAAGGACAUCAGACCCCACGUGGUACCUACGUGUUUGUGUCAGAUACAGUCUUUGCCAGCCAGAACUGGAGAGACAACUGCGAGAGGUGUAAGAGCACCAUGAUAAAGAAGGAGAAAACAAAACAUCUCCAGUUUCCAAUCUUUGCCUGAUGUUGGUUGUGAUUUUCUAGCGCCUCAUAGAUAUUAAAGCUGUUGAUCCUUUAAGCAGCGUACAUACUCUUCUUACGAACACAUUAGUGUUUUACUUUCAGUUUAUGAGUUACUCACAUGUCAGUUGUUUCCAUUCAUCUGAUAAAUUCAGAGUUGCGAGUUUUUUGCUCAACUUAUUAGAAAACAUAGUUGUCCAUAUAAAAUAUAACUGCACACACAAGACUACAUAUAAUGCGAGUCUAAAUCUUCAGUAUUUACCUACUUAUUGCAAAAUGAGCCAUCUUUUUCAUUAAAUAAUCAAAUUUUCAUAUUAGUACAAUACAACUUUAUAUUCUUUUAAAAUACACUAGAUAUGUUAGGGAUAAGGGAUGAUGUUUUCUUUCUCUGCAAUACCUGUUUGGAAGUUUAAUGGAUUAGAAGAUUAGUUUUAGCAUUGAGAAAAAAAUACAAAAUUUGCCUAAUUUUAGGACCUGUGUGUUUCUAUCAGGCAUUUCUUAAGGCUAUAUUUUUCAUUUGGUUUCAAACAGAAAAAUGUUUCAUUUUAAAAAAUAAUUUAGUGAAUUACAUUCGUCCAUAUCUUCCACCCUAAUUAGUUACAAAGAUAAUUCUAUAAAGAUUAUUAACUUUGUGUACUCAUUUACAGUUACAGCUAAAGAUUCAUUUCGAUUUCACUUGCAUCGUAAAACAAGUAUCUCAUGUUGGAAAAAAACCCAAAAUAAAUUCUUAUAAAAGCUGUCAGUUUUUCCCCAUGGCAAAUGCUCUGUCAUACAUUUUUCUAUCAGAAUUAAAAAUAGGCCUCCACAGACAGAGGCGUUAGGUUCUUAAAUACAGUCUUCCCAAAGAACUGUGGUUUACAAAUUUGAAGAACACUUAGUUUUAGAAAUAAUUUUUACAACUGUACCAGAAUUUCACAGCUACAAUUAUAUAUGAACACAUUAAAAAUGACUUCACUAAAACAGGAUUUAGAAAAAUGUGGGUGAAAGGUGGGCCAGAGGCACUGCCACUUAGUGUUGAGGUUUACAGUCUGUGUUUUGAUAAAGAAGUGAAAUGAAGUGUAUAUAUAAAUAACUGCUCAGUCCUUUACAAGCCUGUAGAUGUGAUGCUGUGCUCCAUGUUCGCUGUUCGACACUUCGAAUACACACGCCAUGCAGAGCAGGGUUUCUUGUGUAUCCCUGUUUGUUACAACC